UACAGAGGGUGCGAGCGUUAAUCGGAAUUACUGGGCGUAAAGCGUGCGUAGACGGUUAUGUAAGUCGGAUGUGAAAGCCCCGGGCUCAACCUGGGAAUUGCAUUCGAGACUGCAUGGCUAGGAUGCGGAAGAGGGAAGCGGAAUUUCCGGUGUAGCGGUGAAAUGCGUAGAUAUCGGAAGGAACACCAGUGGCGAAAGCGGCUUCCUGGUCCAGCAUCGACGUUCAGGCACGAAAGCGUGGGGAGCAAACAGG
rnacentral:rRNA from 1 species